AGGACGAACGCUGGCGGCGUGCCUAACACAUGCAAGUCGUACGAGGGCGACCCUUCGGGGUCGACCCGAGUGGCGGACGGGUGAGUAACACGUGACUAAUCUGCCUUCGAGAGGGGGAUAACCUGGGGAAACUCGGGCUAAUACCGCAUGACGUGUCGUGCUCGCAUGGGCGUGACAUCAAAGGGAGGCCUCUACUUGUAAGCUUCCGCUCGAAGAGGAGGUCGCGGCGUAUCAGCUAGUUGGUAGGGUAACGGCCUACCAAGGCGACGACGCGUAGCGGGUCUGAGAGGACGACCCGUCACAUUGGGACUGAGAUACGGCCCAGACUCCUACGGGAGGCAGCAGUGGGGAAUAUUGCGCAAUGGCCGAAAGGCUGACGCAGCGACGCCGCGUGUGGGAGGAAGCCCUUCGGGUGUAAACCACUGGUCGGGGGGACGAACCGUCGGACGGCGAAACCAGCCCGGACGGCUGACGGUACCCCCCGAGAGGAAGACGACCGGCAACUCCGUGCCAGCACGCCGAC
rnacentral:rRNA from 1 species